UCGUGGCGGAAGAGCGUAGGGGAAACGAGGAGUGGUAGCAGGAGGUGGGCCAACACUUCCUCUCUGCCAUGAAGCCAUGAAGGGGCGAGCGCAGCACACGAGACGGUGCCUGGCGUAGAAACCACCCUUUCUACCGGCAAAAGAGGGUGGUUUCAAGUAGCCAGCGCCAUUUUCUUUUUUUUUAUCGUCACUCACUCCGGUGACCACCAGGGGAAGGAGCAGCGCCAGCGGUUUAUGGUGACGUCAACCGCACACUUUGAACGUAUGCUGGCGCUGGUGAGCUGACGAGUCAUUCUGCAAGUGGCAUUUGAGCGAGUGAACGCCAUAAGCAGCGCUCAAAAGGCAGCAGUCAUGUCUGGUCAAGGCGUAUCGGCUGUGGAACAGCCAUCGGUCUCGUCUGUUCAAAGCGACGAAGCGUCUGCUCUAUCGCCAGCUGAAGAGGGGAUGUUGAAGUCAUCGGUCGUGCCUGGUGAAAUUGAACAAGUAGCAUUGCCUGCCAAAGAAGAUAUGUUAAAGCCAUCCGUCGUGCCUGGUCAAGAGGACCAUGCGUCUGAAUCUUCACCUGCCAAAGAAGACCGUAUGUUAAAGCCAUCGGUCAUUUCCGGUGAAGAAGACCAUGCGUCUGACGCAUCGCCUAUCAAAGAAAUGUCGAAGCCAUUGGCCGUGUCUGGUGAAGAUGAUCAAGGAUAUAAUGCAUUGCCUGCAAAAGAAGGGAUGGUAAAGUCAUCGGUCGUGCCUGAUGCAUCACCUGCCAAAGAAGGACAGAUGUUAAAUGCAUUGGUAGUUUCCCGUCAAGAUGGCCACGCGUCUUACUCAUCCGCUGCCAAAGAAGAGGAGGUGGUAAAGCCAUCGGGCGCGUCAUGUCAAAUUGAUCAAGCGCCCGACGCAUCACCUGGCAUAACGAAGGAUAUACGGAAGAUGGGCCUUCUUUUGCAUUGUGACCCAAAUGGGAGUCCGUACGAGUGCUCGGAUUUUCUCGAAUCAAUCGCAAAACUUGGACUUUACCAUGAGGUCGCAGCUAUAGGACCGCAGCUCUACAGAAAGGUAUGGCUGGUUAAAUUGAAGACAACUGAGGCCCUGAGAGCCCUCGUAACCACCGGGAGUAUGCGAGUGAAAGGAUACUACUGCGCUAUCGUUGACCCCGAUGUGCCCGAGGUUUCGAUGAGGGUUCAUUGGGUGCCGUUUCAUAUCUCCAAUGCAUCUCUAGGUGAAGCGCUUCAAGAGUUUGGCACUGUUAAAGAGGUGAGCUGUUACAUGUGGUCUUGGGAUGAGGGUAUAGCCAAUACGCAUACCCGUUACGUUCGCCUGUGCCUCAAAGAAGGGUUGCAAGUGAAAGAUCUGCCCUACCUGUGGCACUGCCAGGAUGAAGAGCUUCUCAUCGUCAUCCCAGGGCGACCGCCAAUGUGCCUGAAGUGCAGCACGAUAGGUCACUUCAGGCGUUACUGUAAAGUGCCGCAAUGUCGCACGUGUAAGAAGUACGGCCACAAGAAGUGCAAACGUUUAUGUCACCCUGAGACCGGUAAUGUCCAAAGGAAUGAAACCGUGCACAUGAAACCAGUAAAAAUGCCAGUCACCCCUGCUGCGGAGCCUGUAAUUGACGACGAAAGUGAGAGGCAGCAAGGAACAGCACCAGCCGCCAAAGAAACCACGGAACAGCCCCACAAAGCAUUGACUGAGGAUGAGCCUGUGACCGGCAAUGUCCAAGUGAACAAAAACGUGCCCACGAAACCAGGAGCAAUGCUGGUGACCCCUACUGCAUUGCGUGAAAUUGAGCAGGGAAGUGAAAACCAGCAAGGAACGCCACCAGUCCCCAAAGAAAAGGCAGAGUGCUCUCAUGAAGUCUUGACUGGCGAUGAACCUUUGACCUGUAAUUCCCAUGUCGACGAAAACGUAUCCACGAAGCCACAAGAAACGCUGUUGCCCCCGACUUCUUUGUGUGUAACUGAGCAUGGAAGUGAGAGCCAGCAAGGAACACCACCAGUCGCCAAGGAAACAACGGCUCAACUCCCGGACGAAGCCCUCGCUGAUUCCGAAACUGGUAGCACCGACUAGCUGUGGACAGAACGCGUCCUCAACAGGCGAGAUAACAGCGUCCACAACUUGACUCUAACGUGAAUUUUCCAUGGUAGUAAACGCAUGGUUGUGAUCGACGAUAUGAUGCGCUGCCGACACCAAAAUGUGGCCUUUUGGAACAUUCUUCACGUUACUCGAACUUGACGUUGGGGAACUCUGCAGUAAACGAAGCAGUUUCAUGUGUUGCACAUUCCAGAGAAGACAAAUAUUUGCUUUUGGGAUUAUUUGUGUACUGCUGGGUCAAGAGUGACCAACGGAUAAGAUGAAACUGGAGUCAACAAACCUACAACAAGCCUCUUCAAAGUCGUUGUUAAAGCUUCAUUUUAAAGCACCUUGUUAAAAUGCUCGUUACGUGUUUUUAGCGCCCCAUAGAAACCUCCGAAGGUUUGUGAAGGACAGACUGGUGAACACUACUUUAAACCCGUGAUUAUGGAAAUUUUAUAAACAAUAGGCUACAGUAAACCCGUGACUGCGCAGACUUCAGAAACUGUGGACGAAUUUAAACCUGUGAUGACGACACCCGUCUGUGUGUCAUGUUUUUUUUUUCAUUCCAAGGCUUGCCUUGUGGCUCAAAACUGGUGAAACGUGAUUGUUAUAUGUACAUAACAGAGGGGGGGGGGGGGUGCAUAUGUGCAAUAACGGCACACAGGUGUAGGGUGGAAAAAGUGUGACAGUGGCUUAUCCGGCUUUUGGCUAUACGCAAAGGGUAACUGACACAAUGUGGUCAAAUUGGAUCUACCAAGUUAUUUUUGAGAUCGUCUUUUUCUCUGAAAUCCCGUAGCGAGCCCAAAGAUCCUCACGCCAUACCCUUCUGCCACUUCGAAGAGAGAUGUUCCUCGUUUAUAUUUGUGUUAUUACUGCAUGAAAUGUGUGUUUGAUGUGUUUGUUGCUACUUUGUCUAAUUCUUUAUAUGCUACGUGGUGUUCGUGGGCGUGUGAGUAUGUGUAUCCUUGCGACAAAUGACAAGCGGUAGCGCACAGGACUGUCAAGUGUCAUUGAAUAGAUAGCGAAAUGAGUGUCUGUGAGUGUGUUCUGUAGCGCGCUUGUGAAUAAAAGAGAAAAAAAAUCAAUAUGGUAGACCAAA